rnacentral:tRNA from 1 species
CAGGGGGUAGCUUAACACUAAAGCACUCAGCUUACAAUUGAAAAAUGUCCAAUAGGAUGCCCCUGA